rnacentral:lncRNA from 1 species
GUAGCUCAGUUGUUCUUAAAAGCUGAAGAAGUAUCAGACUAUAUUUGGAGUGAUGCAGUAUGUUUGUGUUCCACUGAGAGAGUGAAACUUGCACUUUCCACUACAGCAUAGUGUUGAAAAGUGAAUUCCUCUUGAUGUGAAUGGAAUGUAAUUUUUGACCUUGCCCUGAAGAGAGUCACUUUCUGCAAGGAUGAGCUGAACUAUGGACUGAGAUGCAACAGAGAGUCAGUCUUGGAUGUCUCUCCUUUGGAAAUGUUGUUACAUGCCUAAAGCCACUGGGAAAUGUUUCAGCUUUGACAAAACAGUGGAUGAAGGCAAUCUGUCCUCCUCCUCCCCCCACCCAAGAACAAACUCCAAGCAGAAUUUGGUCAGAAAUAUUCUGGCUGAUUCCUAGGUGCAGCCAGAAAGUGGCAGAGGAGGGACAAACCCAAAGUGGCUUUAGAUCAGCUAGCACAAAAACCGAUUCCAGCUCUGGAUUUCAAGACUGUGGCCAGAUCUGGUUUGCUCAUCUACAUGUUCCAUGACUGUUUAGAAACAGAUGAGCAGUAAGUAGGGAUUUUAAUCCCAAAGAAUAAAUUGCAACAAAAUCUGUUCA